GAUGAACGCUAGCGGCAGGCUUAAUACAUGCAAGUCGAGGGGCAUCAAGGUACACGAAAGUGUAUUGUUGGCGACCGGCGGACGGGUGAGUAAUAGGUAGGUAACCUACCUCAUACUGAGGCAUAGCUGGGAGAAAUUCCAGGUAAUUCCUCAUGAGGUUAUAUGACACAUGUGAUAUAAUCAAAGGUAUCGCAAGGUACUGGUAUGAGAUGGGCUUACUGACCAUUAGCUAGUUGGUGAGAUAAGAGCUCACCAAGGCGAAGAUGGUUAGGGGUUUUGAGAGAGAGAUCCCCCACAUUGGAACUGAGAUACGGUCCAGGCUCCUACGGGAGGCAGCAGUAGGGAAUAUUGGGCAAUGGGCGGAAGCCUGACCCAGCCAUGCCGCGUGAAGGAAGACGGCCUUAUGGGUUGUAAACUUCUUUACUAUGCGACUAACUAGAUUUACGAGAUAAUUCUAUAGAAUGUAGCAUAGCAAAAGCACCGGCUAA
rnacentral:rRNA from 1 species